AAGCUCCAUCCCUUCUGGUAGCACAGCUGAAUUACCUUCACCUGUGCUCCUGCAGCUGACUCGUUGCUUGCCUCAGAUGGUUAAUCAGAGGUUCAGAUUGUGAUCAGCUGUUUCCCUUACAAAAUCUGCUGUUUCAUCUGUGCUGACCUUAUUUUAUGAAGAUGAGGGAAAAAGAAAGCUAAAUAUUGAAACCCUUUCUCUCUUACCAAACCCUCAACCACAGAUGAAAUGCACUGAUACUCAAGCAGCUUUAUGGCCCAGAGAUGCUGGAAGCACCAAUCCACAAAAAGGCCAAAAGUCAGCACCGGAGAAGAUGCUACUUGCAGUCCUUUCAAAAUGGCUUUAAAGAAGAUAUUGUACUUCUGAAGGAAAGGGAAAAAAAACAACACCAAGUCAGUUGAAUGUGUUGUUUUGGCACUGAAGUGCUUUGCUGUUGGAAUACCACUCCUGCUUUCUUUGGAGAGAAGAAAGCAGAAGCAGGAAAAGAGACACAAAAGAACUACGGAGAAAGGAAAAAAGUAGUUAUAAUCUGAAAGCUUGUUCCUGCUUGUAAACGUGAUGCUCAAGCAAGGCACACCCUUGCAGUCAAACUGAUACUUGGUUUUCUUCCAUUGCUACUGGACUUAUCUGGUUUUGGCAGCUUCCUUGAUUCUAGGCUCACUGUAGUCCGGCUCAAUCCCAGAUUUCAUCUGUCUAAACCCUAAUUAGCAAACAGAAAAGAAAUAAGAUAGGGGAUAGAGAAGGACACGUAAGGUAAGAUCUGACAACAAGGAGCCUUGAAUUUUAGCAGCUAGUCACAUGUUGGCCCUGGUCUGCUGAAAAAAAUUAGUUACAAAUGAGCAACUCCCAGUAUUGUUCUGCCAAAGAGUCACUGGUGUCUUGGCAAGUUUUAGGAGUUGGCAGCAGUGCUCAUAAAGCUUUAGUUUUUGUUGUUGCUGCUGUUCUCCUAGUGCCAGUAGCAAAUUAUGCAUCUCAAAGUUGCCUGAUGGGUGGUAUAGAUGAUUAAAAUCUUUGUUCUAGGAAAUCUGCCAGUGCUUUAACUGAGAUCUACUUGCCUCCAGUUAUGUAUUUCUCUCACUGGCUAGCCAUUAUUUUCUUGCAUUUUUGGGGGUUUUCUCAGGAUGCCUUUUCAGCAGGGGGAAUUUAUUUUAUCCUUUGUGGCUUUCCAAACAAAACCAAUGCAAUCUAACAGAUGUCUUGAAAAUGGUGUGUGUAUUUGUUUGCUUUAGUUCUGAACUUACAGUGUGGGCCACUAACUUACAUUGGCAGUUACCUGGGAGCUGGUUUCAUCUCCUCAAGUUCUGUGGGUGAUUUUGUGUUAUCUUUACCCAACAAAUGAACAACGUUUAUUUUGAAAUCACCUUCUCCAUCAAGGUCUAUGAUGUGAAAUGCAAUCAAAAGAUCAUGCAUGCUGUGACAAAAAAUAAUUAACAACAUUAAGUUGCAAUGUAAUAUCACUCUAUACUAUAUUAUUUCUUUGGACCACAGGAAGUACACCAACAGGCUGCAAAAACUGGGAGAAGCCCAAACCCACCUUUUUACUUCAACAGUACAUUUUCAGACUCUUAAAUAUCACACUGACUGUUUCCAUAAUAAUAAUUAUUAAUGUUUUGAGCCUUCAUUGUGGUUUUCAUUAGAGACUGGGAUGGAGUAGAGCAGGAUAGACCUAAAUACAUGAGACUCCAUCAAUUUCAAUUAUAUCUCAAUUCCUUUGCAGAACACGUUCAGUGAUACAUAGCACUGUCAUCUGCAUCAAGAUGAUAAAUACUCUUCUGAAUUUAUACUUCUGUUGUUUCACCGAAACCCUGCAGCAGUCACAGCUCCAGGAGAGGCAGCAGAAUCUGAAAGAGCCCAGAAUAUUCUGAAGGUUCACCCAUACAAAUGGGUUUUGUCUGUCUGCAGGCUGUCUGCAUGCAAACCACGCACCAUUAGACAGCCCUCUGCAGGAGCUCUGACUUUGUUUUGUGCUGGAAAUCCUAGUUGGAGUGAUUACGUGGGAGCUGUGCUGUCCUUCACAUGUUGUGCUAAAAUAGAAUCAAGUUACCUGCCCUUGGGAAGACUUUAACAAAUAGUUGUUAUAUGCUAUAUCAGUGAACAUCUUCAAAAAAAUAACAGGAUGCCACAUCCCAUUUGUUUUGGCAGCUUUAGAGAUUGGUGGGGUGCUGCCUUGUUUGACUACACGCUUUAUGAUUACAAGCUUUUUAAGGACAGCUCUGUUUUCUAUUUUGCAGCUCUUAGUUUUUUAACAGAGGCAGGGAAAGGGAGUUACAACCAUUUAGACUGAAAGUUUGUCACCUAACCACGGUAGCAGCUUUAUUUUCUUUGUGUAGCAGAAGAAAUUGGUGAUUUACUGUGCAGAGAGAUCGCUUAUAUGGUUAGAGGGCACAACUGUAUUUUAAUCCUGAUUCUGCUGUCAGACUUAUUUUGUUUCACCACACAGAAUACUCGAGGGAGGUUGCCUUUCCAGUUUCAUAUGGUUCUUUCUGUAAGGUUACUGCUCGUUACAGAAAUACAGUUGGAUCCACUGACUGAA